CUCAGGACGAACGCUGGCGGCGUGCCUAAUACAUGCAAGUCGAGCGGACAGAAGGGAGCUUGCUCCCCGGAUGUUAGCGGCGGACGGGUGAGUAACACGUGGGUAACCUGCCUGUAAGACUGGGAUAACUCCGGGAAACCGGAGCUAAUACCGGAUAGUUCCUUGAACCGCAUGGUUCAAGGAUGAAAGACGGUUUCGGCUGUCACUUACAGAUGGACCCGCGGCGCAUUAGCUAGUUGGUGAGGUAACGGCUCACCAAGGCGACGAUGCGUAGCCGACCUGAGAGGGUGAUCGGCCACACUGGGACUGAGACACGGCCCAGACUCCUACGGGAGGCAGCAGUAGGGAAUCUUCCGCAAUGGACGAAAGUCUGACGGAGCAACGCCGCGUGAGUGAUGAAGGUUUUCGGAUCGUAAAGCUCUGUUGUUAGGGAAGAACAAGUGCAAGAGUAACUGCUUGCACCUUGACGGUACCUAACCAGAAAGCCACGGCUAACUACGUGCCAGCAGCCGCGGUAAUACGUAGGUGGCAAGCGUUGUCCGGAAUUAUUGGGCGUAAAGGGCUCGCAGGCGGUUUCUUAAGUCUGAUGUGAAAGCCCCCGGCUCAACCGGGGAGGGUCAUUGGAAACUGGGAAACUUGAGUGCAGAAGAGGAGAGUGGAAUUCCACGUGUAGCGGUGAAAUGCGUAGAGAUGUGGAGGAACACCAGUGGCGAAGGCGACUCUCUGGUCUGUAACUGACGCUGAGGAGCGAAAGCGUGGGGAGCGAACAGGAUUAGAUACCCUGGUAGUCCACGCCGUAAACGAUGAGUGCUAAGUGUUAGGGGGUUUCCGCCCCUUAGUGCUGCAGCUAACGCAUUAAGCACUCCGCCUGGGGAGUACGGUCGCAAGACUGAAACUCAAAGGAAUUGACGGGGGCCCGCACAAGCGGUGGAGCAUGUGGUUUAAUUCGAAGCAACGCGAAGAACCUUACCAGGUCUUGACAUCCUCUGACAACCCUAGAGAUAGGGCUUUCCCUUCGGGGACAGAGUGACAGGUGGUGCAUGGUUGUCG
rnacentral:rRNA from 1 species